rnacentral:rRNA from 1 species
UUAGAUACCCUGGUAGUCCACGCUGUAAACGAUGAAUACUAGGUGUAGGGGGUAUCGACUCCCUCUGUGCCGCCGCUAACGCAUUAAGUAUUCCGCCUGGGGACUACGGCCGCAAGGUUGAAACUCAAAGAAAUUGACGGGGACCCGCACAAGCAGCGGAGCAUGUGGUUUAAUUCGACGCAACGCGAAAAACCUUACCAGGCCUUGACAUCGAGUGAAAGUCCAAGAGAUUGGACCCUCCUUCGGGACACGAAGACAGGUGCUGCAUGGUUGUCGUCAGCUCGUGUCGUGAGAUGUUAGGUUAAGUCCUGCAACGAGCGCAACCCUCAUAUGUAGUUGCCAUCAUUAAGUUGGGCACUCUGCAUAGACUGCCGUGGUUAACACGGAGGAAGGUGGGGAUGACGUCAAAUCAUCACGGCCCUUACGGCCUGGGCUACACACGUGCUACAAUGGCUAUUACAAAGAGUUGCAAUACAGCAAUGUGGAGCGAAUCUCAAAAAGAUGNUCUCAGUUCGGACUGUGGGCUGCAACCCGCCCACACGAAGUCGGAGUUGCUAGUAAUCCCGAAUCACAUGUCGGGGUGAAUGCGUUCCCGGGUCUUGUCACACCGCCCGUCCGCCAUGGGAGUCGGGAGUGCCCAAAGUCGGUGACCUAACCGCAAGGAAGAACCCGCUAAGUAAUGCCGAUGACUGGGGGUGAAGUCNUACCAAG